GACGUAGGGCGCGAGCGUUGUCCGGAUUUAUUGGGCGUAAAGAGCUCGUAGGCGGCUUGUCGCGUCGACUGUGAAAACCCGCGGCUCAACUGCGGGCCUGCAGCCGAUACGGGCAGGCUAGAGUUCGGUAGGGGAGACUGGAAUUCCUGGUGUAGCAGUGAAAUGCGUAGAUAUCAGGAGGAACACCAAUGGCGAAGGCAGCUCUCUGGGACGGUACUGACGCUGAGACGCGAAAGCGUGGGGAGCGAACAGG
rnacentral:rRNA from 1 species